GCUGUGCCGGGCUCCACUGGCAGGAUGCUGGUUGUCACCUGGAUGUGAGUUGAUCAGUUCUGGGACAGUCACAGCAUCCUUCUGGUUUUUGCUCUGUCAGC
rnacentral:miRNA from 12 species